rnacentral:rRNA from 1 species
GACGAACGCUGGCGGCGUGCUUAACACAUGCAAGUCGAACGGAAAGGCCCUGCUUUUGUGGGGUGCUCGAGUGGCGAACGGGUGAGUAACACGUGAGUAACCUGCCCUUGACUUUGGGAUAACUUCAGGAAACCGGGGCUAAUACCGGAUAGGAGCUCCUGCUGCAUGGUGGGGGUUGGAAGGUUUCGGCGGUUGGGGAUGGACUCGCGGCUUAUCAGCUUGUUGGUGGGGUAGUGGCUUACCAAGGCUUUGACGGGUAGCCGGCCUGAGAGGGUGACCGGCCACAUUGGGACUGAGAUACGGCCCAGACUCCUACGGGAGGCAGCAGUGGGGAAUAUUGCACAAUGGGCGGAAGCCUGAUGCAGCAACGCCGCGUGCGGGAUGACGGCCUUCGGGUUGUAAACCGCUUUCGCCUGUGACGAAGCGUGAGUGACGGUAAUGGGUAAAGAAGCACCGGCUAACUACGUG